UACAGAGACUGCAAGCGUUAUUCGGAUUCACUGGACGUAAAGGGUGCGCAGGCGGCCAAGUGUGUUAGGCGUGAAAGCCCGGGGCUUAACCCCGGAAUUGCACCUAAAACUACAUGGCUAGAGCAUUGGAGAGGGUAGCAGAAUUCACGGUGUAGCAGUGAAAUGCGUAGAUAUCGUGAGGAAUACCAGAGGCGAAGGCGGCUACCUGGACAAUUGCUGACGCUCAGGCACGAAAGCGUGGGGAGCAAAAGGG
rnacentral:rRNA from 1 species